rnacentral:rRNA from 1 species
GACGAACGCUGGCGGCGUGCCUAAUACAUGCAAGUAGGACGCAGUUGCGAACGGGUGAGUAACGCGUAGGUCACUGCCUAUUAGAGGGGGAUAACUAUUGGAAACGCUAGCUAAUACCGCAUACUAGUAGCUGGACCUGCGUUGUAUUCGCUAGUAGGUAGGGUAAUGGCCUACCUAGGCGGCGAUACAUAGCCGACCUGGGAGGGUGAUCGGCCCAGCUGGGACGGGGGCACGGCCCGGACUCCUACGGCAGGCAGACGUAGGGAAUCUUCGGCAAUGGGGGGAACCCUGACCUAGCAACGCCGCGUGAGUGAAGAAGGUUUUCAGAUCGUAAAGGUCUGGUGGUAAGGAAGCGGUACUUAACCAGAAAGGGACGGCUAACUACGUGCCAGCCGCCGCGGUAAUAC